rnacentral:tRNA from 1 species
GCAGCUCAGCAGUAGAGCAUCUGCUUGGCAUGCAGAAGGUUGCAGGUUCGAUCCCCAGUGGCA